rnacentral:tRNA from 1 species
GGAGAGGUCGCAUAGUGGUCGAGUGCGGACGUCUCGAACACGUCUAGGUCCAAAGCCUCGAGGGUUCGAAUCCCUCCCUCUCCGCCA